rnacentral:rRNA from 1 species
AUUGAACGCUGGCGGCAGGCCUAACACAUGCAAGUCGAGCGGAUGAAGGGAGCUUGCUCCUGGAUUCAGCGGCGGACGGGUGAGUAAUGCCUAGGAAUCUGCCUGGUAGUGGGGGAUAACGUCCGGAAACGGGCGCUAAUACCGCAUACGUCCUGAGGGAGAAAGUGGGGGAUCUUCGGACCUCACGCUAUCAGAUGAGCCUAGGUCGGAUUAGCUAGUUGGUGGGGUAAAGGCCUACCAAGGGGACGAUCCGUAACUGGUCUGAGAGGAUGAUCAGUCACAAGGGAACUGAGAGACGGUCCAGACUCCUACGGGAGGCAGCAGUGGGGAAUAUUGGACAAUGGGCGAAAGCCUGAUCCAGCCAUGCCGCGUGUGAAGAAGGUCUUCGGAUUGUAAAGCACUUUAAGUUGGGAGGAAGGGCAGUAAGUUAAUACCUUGCUGUUUUGACGUUACCAACAGAAUAAGCACCGGCUAACUUCGUG